AGUAGGCUGACCACAGUUGUCCACCUCUGUCCUGUAAGUGGGGAGAGCCUCUGCCCUUCAGCAAGGAGCUGUGAGGAUGAGAAAGGGGAGACUGGUUACAGAGAGAGGCUCUGAGCACUUAGCUUCCUUGCCAAGAACUAAUGGACGGUCUUCAACGUGCAUGAAAAAUGCGCUCUGCUUGGGACCAGAGAAGCCGCAACGAGGCCUCCACAGACCUGAUUCGGUGUCAGUCUAUUUCGGUGUGCGAAGACCUGGAUGCACUUAUUUUACUCUCUGCCGUAACUGAGAAAAAAACCAAACAACUGCAAAGGUUCAAUGAGACAGCAGUCGGUCACGAGAAAGGAAUUUGAACCGAGAUAACGUUAGUUACAUUCUAUCCACGUGUUCCUGAAGCCCGUGCACUUCCAGUUGAACAAAUGUGACUUGGCCUUUCAUCAUUAGAUUAAAAUGGAAUCAGAUCAGCAUAGACUUUGUAUAAUUAAGAGAAUCUACAUAUACACAUGGGCACACAGGUGUCUUUUGAUAGGUUAAGAACUACUGACAGAGUUAAAGGAUCGUGAGAUGUUUCCCUUUCUUAUCAUCUCUGUCCUGUGUCGGGAGGGGCCCAUGUGUGUUUUAGUGAAAUGUCCAGGGAGAAAGUGAAGUAGAAACUGUUCGCCUCUUACUUGUGGCAACAGCUCUCAUCUGUGGCGCUCUGACUGGGAGCCAGGCACGGCCCUUCAGUGCUUUACAGCAGGAUUUUGUUAAAUGCUCAUUAACAGUCCUAUGGGGUGAAUGUGAUUAUAAGUCCCACUAUAUGUUUGUGGCAACUGAGGCACAGAGAAGGUAAGUGACUUGCCCAACAUCACACAGCUGGUUGUACAGGUCCCAUGUCCCUUGUGCAAAAUGACGUACGCCACAGCUCUCAUCCCCACCUCCCACCAGCUUCCCAGCUCAGGGUCCUCUGGGCAAAAUACUGCAGCAGGGAGGGGAGAGGACGUCAGGCUGCAGUAUGCUGGAGUGGAAAAAAACAAAAGGGAGGUCCUUAAAGUCAAGGCAAGAACAGUGUCUCGGAGGACAGUGCAAUGUCUCACCAGUGAGGCAGUGGUCAGCCUCCCCAGACUCAGAGGCCUGUCCAGGGUUUCUUUGCCGCCAGGGUCACGUUGCUCAACUGCCUGUAGGGUGCUGCAGCCCUGGAAAGGAGCCCAGGCUGUCGGGCUGCCAGGUCCUGGCUGGUUUUCCACUCAACGACAGAGGCGAAUGUCAUUCCUUGGAGUGAAUCACCAGAUGCCUUUGUGUGGCCAUUCAAUCAGUCUGCAGAGCGCUGAACAAGCAGACAUAAGGGUGCCAGUCAUUCUGUCCAUGGUAUAAAGAGGUAAAGCGAGGCACAGAGAAGUCUACACUCACAUACACAGUUCUUUCCCCCACCUUGCAAAGAACAAGUGAAACUGUGGUAAUGAUAGAGCUGGAAGCAGAAUCUCCUGCUCAGAUGACUUGAGACUGAGACAUCUGGGUCAUAAACCACAGCGGAAGCCAAUAUGGGGAAAUUAUCUGGAGUUACUUUACAUACACAAAGACUAUGCUUCUGACCCUCUUUUACAUUCAGAAUCUCUGUGUAGUCUGGAAGCCCCUUUGUGAGCACAUCCAGGAGGAGGUGGUGUGCUGUAGAAAAAGCCCUGGGUUACAGUCAAGAGACCCAGUCCUGUCGAACCAGCUGAGUGGCCGGGAAAAGUUAAGUAACCUGGGAUUAUAUUUCAGAAACAGAGGUGAAGGCUUUGGACAAUAUCAGUGGUUCCCAAACCUGCCUGCUCAGGAGAAUCACUGUGUGUGUGUGUGUGUGUGUGUGUGUGUGUGUGUGUGUGUGUUGGGAGAAGGAGGUAUGAGAGCUGCAGCCUGGGAACCUGUAUUUUGAACAUGGUCUAGGUGAUUCUGAAGAGCAGCCACAAUUGGUGACCCCAGAGCAGAUGUUGUCUAAGAUACUCACAGAGCUCUGAUGUUUUCUGACUCUGGAGCCCCUUUUAGCACAUUCCACACUAUUCAGUCCAGAGGAAAUGGCAGCACUCAUAGUGGACCCCCAUGAGAAAGUCGGUGUGUGACUUCAGGGAGCAGCCAGCGUGGCCCAGCGUCCUGCUCCAGGGGUGCCAGGUGUGCGUGGGCUCUGGGACAAACCUGUUUUUUGGCUGGUUCAGCUUUGGAGCCUGAGGAUAGGGCUCUCUGGGGCCAGCAGUGCUUGGCCCUGACUGUGAUCAUCCGCUGCCUUGUUCCUGAAGAUGCGGGCCCUGUCACCACUGUGCUGUGGUCUGGGACACAGAGUCAGCCUCGAGUCUGAAGAGCAUGUCAAGAAUCCUGACAAGCAGGCCUUGCCUCUUUGAGGCAGGUCUGCUUCACACGAGCUUUUGAAUGCAGUCACGUGUCUCCAGUUGUCCCAGGACUGUGGAAUGC